rnacentral:rRNA from 1 species
AUUGAACGCUGGCGGCAGGCCUAACACAUGCAAGUCGAGCGGAUGAAGGGAGCUUGCUCCUGGAUUCAGCGGCGGACGGGUGAGUAAUGCCUAGGAAUCUGCCUGGUAGUGGGGGAUAACGUCCGGAAACGGGCGCUAAUACCGCAUACGUCCUGAGGGAGAAAGUGGGGGAUCUUCGGACCUCACGCUAUCAGAUGAGCUUAGGUCGGAGUAGCUAGUUGGUGGGGUAAAGGCCUACCAAGGCGACGAUCCGUAACUGGUCUGAGAGGAUGAUUAGUCACACUGGAACUGAGACACGGUCCAGACUCCUACGGGAGGCAGCAGUGGGGAAUAUUGGACAAUGGGCGAAAGCCUGAUCCAGCCAUGCCGCGUGUGUGAAGAAGGUCUUCGGAUUGUAAAGCACUUUAAGUUGGGAGGAAGGGCAGUAAGUUAAUACCUUGCUGUUUUGACGUUACCAACAGAAUAAGCACCGGCUAACUUCGUG